UCACUACCGAAACAGAGACAGAUUAUAAAUGAGGAAUAACUUUCAAUUCAGUUUACUCAAAACUCGUACGGAUGAUUCAAAUAGAGAACAACAAGUUUGGUCAACAAAACAAUAGUGGAUGGAUUACAAACUCAGACAGAUCAGCAUAGAUAUAAUCACUACCGAAACAGAGAUAGAUUAUAAAUGAGGAAUAACUUUCAAUUCAGUUUACUCAAAUCUCGUACGGAUGAUUCAAAUAGAGAACAACAAGUUUGGUCAACAAAACAAUAGUGGAUGGAUUACAAACUCAGACAGAUCAGCAUAGAUAUAAUCACUACCGAAACAGAGAUAGAUUAUAAAUGAGGAAUAACUUUCAAUUCAGUUUACUCAAAUCUCGUACGGAUGAUUCAA